AUUGAACGCUGGCGGCAUGCUUUACACAUGCAAGUCGGACGGCAGCGGGGGCUUCGGCCUGCCGGCGAGUGGCGAACGGGUGAGUAAUACAUCGGAACGUGUCCUUAAGUGGGGAAUAUCGCAUCGAAAGAUGUGCUAAUACCGCAUAUCUCUGAGGAGAAAAGCAGGGGAUCGCAAGACCUUGCGCUAAAGGAGCGGCCGAUGUCUGAUUAGCUAGUUGGUGGGGUAAAGGCUUACCAAGGCAACGAUCAGUAGUUGGUCUGAGAGGACGACCAACCACACUGGGACUGAGACACGGCCCAGACUCCUACGGGAGGCAGCAGUGGGGAAUUUUGGACAAUGGGCGAAAGCCUGAUCCAGCCAUGCCGCGUGAGUGAAGAAGGCCUCGGUUGUAAGACUCUUUAGUUCGGUAAGAAAGAAGUUAGCAAUAGAAUAAUUAGU
rnacentral:rRNA from 1 species